rnacentral:rRNA from 1 species
CGGGGGGGGCAAGCGUUGUUCGGAAUUACUGGGCGUAAAGGGUUUGUAGGUGGCUUGUUAAGUCAGACGUGAAAUCCCUCAGCUUAACUGGGGAACUGCGUCUGAUACUGGCGAGCUUGAGUGCAGGAGAGGAACGCGGAAUUCCAGGUGUAGCGGUGAAAUGCGUAGAUAUCUGGAGGAACACCGGUGGCGAAGGCGGCGUUCUGGACUGCAACUGACACUGAAAAACGAAAGCCAGGGUAGCAAACGGGAUUAGAUACCCCGGUAGUCCUGGCCCUAAACGAUGAAUGCUUGGUGUGGCGGGUAUCGAUCCCUGCCGUGCCGAAGUUAACGCGAUAAGCAUUCCGCCUGGGGAGUACGGUCGCAAGGCUG